rnacentral:pre_miRNA from 1 species
UAUCUACUCCCUCCGUCCCAAAAUAACUGUCUCAAACUUAGUACAAGUUUGUACUAGAGCUAGUACAAAGUUGAGACACUUAUUUUGGGACGGAGGGAGUAUAAU